rnacentral:sRNA from 1 species
UGUUGUUUUGGUCCCGGCCUCUACGCCGU